rnacentral:rRNA from 1 species
GAUGAACGCUGGCGGCGUGCCUAAUACAUGCAAGUCGAGCGAACAGAUGAGGAGCUUGCUCCUCUGACGUUAGCGGCGGACGGGUGAGUAACACGUGGAUAACCUACCUAUAAGACUGGGAUAACUUCGGGAAACCGGAGCUAAUACCGGAUAAUAUAUUGAACCGCAUGGUUCAAUAGUGAAAGACGGUUUUGCUGUCACUUAUAGAUGGAUCCGCGCCGCAUUAGCUAGUUGGUAAGGUAACGGCUUACCAGGGCAACGAUGCGUAGCCGACCUGAGAGGGUGAUCGGCCACACUGGACCUGAGACACGGUCCAGACUCCUACGGGAGGCAGCAGUAGGGAAUCUUCCGCAAUGGGCGAAAGCCUGACGGAGCAACGCCGCGUGAGUGAUGAAGGUCUUCGGAUCGUAAAACUCUGUUAUUAGGGAAGAACAAAUGUGUAAGUAACUAUGCACGUCUUGACGGUACCUAAUCAGAAAGCCACGGCUAACUACGU